AACGAACGCUGGCGGCAUGCCUAACACAUGCAAGUCGAACGAAAGCUUCGGGUCUUGUGGCGCACGGUGUCGUAACGCGUGGGGACCUGCCCUUAGGUUCGGCCUAACUCUCCGAAAGGGGUGCUAAUACCGGAUAAUGUCUUCGGCCCAAAGAUUUAUCGCCUUUGGAUGGGCCCGCGUUGGAUUAGCUAGUUGUUAGGGUAAAAGACUCCCACGGGGACGAUCCAUAGCUUGUUAGAGAGAGUGAUUAGCCACACUGGGACUGAGAAGCGGCCCAGACUCCUCCGCGAGGCGGCAGUGCGUAAUAGUGGACCAUGGGCGAAAGCCUGAUCCAGCAAUGACGCGUGAGCGAUGAAGGCCGUAGAGUUGUAAAGCUCUUUUACCCGGGAUGAUAAUGACAGUACCGGGAGAAUAAGCCCCGGCUAACUCCGUG
rnacentral:rRNA from 1 species